rnacentral:rRNA from 1 species
GGGCCCGCACAAGCGGCGGAGCAUGCGGAUUAAUUCGAUGCAACGCGAAGAACCUUACCAGGGUUUGACAUCCUGCGAAUCUCUUGGAAACAGGAGAGUGCCUUCGGGAACGCAGUGACAGGUGGUGCAUGGCUGUCGUCAGCUCGUGUCGUGAGAUGUUGGGUUAAGUCCCGCAACGAGCGCAACCCACGUCUUUAGUUGCCAGCAUUUAGUUGGGCACUCUAGAGAGACUGCCGGUGAUAAACCGGAGGAAGGUGUGGAUGACGUCAAGUCAUCAUGCCCUUACAUCCUGGGCUACACACGUACUACAAUGCUACGGACAAAGGGCAGCAAGUUCGCGAGGACAAGCAAA